rnacentral:rRNA from 1 species
AUGGCGGAGAUAGCCGGCGACGAGACCCCGCCGCUACCUUCGUCUUCCGGCGCCGAGGAAUCCUCUCUCCUCUCGUCCCCUCCCUCGCCCACCGCCACCAGCGGGGACAAGCCGCCGCCGCGCACGAGGAAGCCCGGCACGAAGCGCCUCGUCCUCACCGCCUCGGUCCUCGUCUCCUUCCUCGUCGGACUGCCCUUGCUGCUCAAAUCCACCGAGAUCCACCGGUCGCCGCUGCCCUCCGACGCAAUCGCCGACCUGUCCCGGCGCCUCCAGUCGCACCCUCCCUCCUUCCCCUGUGGUCUCCACGCGGUCUUCCUCCGCUCCGGCCCUGGCUCCCCCGUCGCCUCCCUUGCCGAUCAGCUCGAGCGGGCAAUCUCGACCCAGCACCACCUCCUCCCCGCGUCUUCUACUGCUGGGAGCAUCUCAGUGUCAGUCACCGUCCAGUCGGAUGGCGGCUGCACCAGCAGCACGGCUUCCGCUUCGCCUUGGCGAUGUGGCUCGGUGACCGCUGCAGACUCGGUCCGUGGUGAUGAGGUGUUCGAUGAAUUGCUGCACUCUGCAUUGGGUGGUGGUGAUGGGGAUGGGAUGAAGGUUUACACUGUUGUCAUUGCUGAGGAUGAUGAUGGGAAGGGGACGAGGGUUGUGAUCGGAAAGCACCGUCAUGCUUGGGUUGUUGGGAAGGUUGAUGAGGCCGAGGCUCUGUCCCUUAUUAGGAAGGUGUUCAUCAAGUAUUUCAUGAAUGGCGGUAUUGAAGAGGGUGAGACAGGCAUUGGAAAAGGAGAGUUCAUGCCAGUUGGUUCAGAUGGGAAUGUUGUUCUUUCAUUCAGCUUGUUGAAUGCUGAUCCAAAUGAUUGGGUCUAUGAUUGGGAGUUCAAAAAUAUUGGUGAGAGAAUCCUUACUCCUGUGGUUGAGGCCCUGCGACCAGUUGCUGAUAUCAACAUAGAGAGUCAGGUUCUCUACCACACUCCGAAGUCGUCCUAUUCUUAUUCUGACGAUAAAUUGGGGGGCAAUGUCCUUAGUAUGGGAGACAUUCCUUUCUUUGUAAACUCAAAUGAGUGGCAUUUGGAUACAUCGAUUUCAGCUACAGGACGAUCAAAAGUUCUUCAGUUUGUGGUGUAUAUUCCAUCUGCAAGGGAAUGCCCUUUGUACUUGCAGCUUCCAGAUGGGGAGCUUUCGAAAACUAAUGCAUUUAUUUCCCCAAUGUGGGGAGGUGUUGUUAUUUGGAACCCACCAGGCUGUUCACUUGGUUCAAAGAAGGCGCAUGGGACUCGGAGACAAAUGUCAUCACAGGAACUUAUGGAGACUCUGGAAAUCUUCAUUGGGCAGCUAAGACAGUUAUUUGGUCUAAAACCGAACUAUCAUGCACAUGGCAUGGAUGUGGCAACUAAAUUCCUAGUUAGUGAAAAGGGGUUUGCACAAUGGGAAUUGGAUUUACUAUACAGACAUCAUGCAUGUUCCAACCUUUUGUCAUGUGUCGCCACCUUGGAAUCUCUUUCCAGCUUGGUCCAAUCGCUCCCAAGAAUGAUUGUUAUGGAUGAAAUUGGGAGGCAGGUAGAGCUUUCGCUUGAAGCCGCAAGCUUAGCUCAAAGGAACGCCACUCUUGGAAUAGGUGACUCUUCUGCAGUGUCUGCAACGAGAGCGAGGGCUUUGGCCGAGGACGCUUUUUUCCAUCCAUCCAUUAUGUCAAUCAGUUAUGCUUCCGUGGAGCACUACUUCGCGAUUUACAUGCCAUUCUUUGCGCCAGUGUGUUUGCAUGUGCUGCUGGCGGCGAUCAAAGAGCUGAAACGCUACAAGGUGGAGCGGGCCAAAUACUCGGCCUUCCUGGCUUCCCAGUCCCAAGCGACGACUUCCUCCUGA